CAAGGCAACCCGCUGAA
rnacentral:rRNA from 1 species